ensembl:lncRNA
GUGUGUGUCCAAGGGAAAAGACCAAUAUGUCUAGAUCUGUCCUUUGAGGCUCACACAUACACACAUUUUUCCCGUCACUCCCUGCUUCACUAACACGAGAGGGUGUGGUGAUCUGUAGAAAAAUCAACUUCCUGUCUGCAAUCCCCGCAUGGCAUCGUAACGGAUGGGUUUACAUCACCAAACCCAAUCUCACUCUCUGAGAACAUCAGGAAAUGCUUCUCUCCAACACAACAUCAGAGAACGAGCUUAUUUUUUUGAAGGAAAAGUGUGAUAAGCCCUAAACACACUCUCUGUCUCUCGCUCUCUGACACUUACUGCUUCUGAGGAAUAGAAGGGACAGACUUUAUCACCAACAGAUUAAAAAUAGAGAAGGGAGACUGAGGAAAGGCAUCCAGCCUCGAUCAUCGAGCAUUGAAGCGAGGGGACCAUACUGGAAUCUAACAAUCGUGAUCCUGAUGCUGCUGAGCCCACAUGUGUUAGAAUCCAUGACUUCUGGAGAGAUAGAUGGCUUUGUGUGGCUGAUGUCCUCAGAGACUCUGGUAAGUGUUACCACACUGGUCUUUUCAGCAGCACUGAGAUGAAAACCAAACCAUGAAAUGAUGCCACAUGACUGGAUACUAUCGACAUUU